CGAGGAAUGUAUCUUUUUGGUAGAAUCCAUUAAAAAUAUAUAUGUAUUAGUUUUGAUAUUAAUAGUAAUACAUUAUGACAAUCCUGUCUGUACUAUAAUAUAUAUCUAAUUCUAGAUUUUCAAUGUUAUUUAUUAUCUUGUGUUGUUCUUCUCGUAGUGAGUUUUUUAGAUUAUAUAAACUAUCACAUGUAUUUUUAUCUAAAUUUUCUAAGGUUUUUUCUCUCCAUGCUAAUGUUUCUUUUAGGUCUUUUAUUAUUUUUCUAAUUCGGUUUCUAUAACUAAUUUCAUUAUUUAGAUUUUCUUGAUUUUCUCUAGUUUGUCUAAUAUAUUCUAACAUUUUUUAAUCUGAAUAAUAUCCUUCUGGGUAGAUUUCUGUGUAUAAC
rnacentral:lncRNA from 1 species